AGUGAUUGGCGAAUUGCAGAGUAUCACGUGGGAAACCUGCCCAGAAGCGGGGGAUAACACCUGGAAACAGAUGCUAAUACCGCAUAACAACUUGGACCGCAUGGUCCGAGCUUGAAAGAUGGCUUCGGCUAUCACUUUUGGAUGGUCCCGCGGCGUAUUAGCUAGAUGGUGGGGUAACGGCUCACCAUGGCAAUGAUACGUAGCCGACCUGAGAGGGUAAUCGGCCACAUUGGGACUGAGACACGGCCCAAACUCCUACGGGAGGCAGCAGUAGGGAAUCUUCCACAAUGGACGAAAGUCUGAUGGAGCAACGCCGCGUGAGUGAAGAAGGGUUUCGGCUCGUAAAACUCUGUUGUUAAAGAAGAACAUAUCUGAGAGUAACUGUUCAGGUAUUGACGGUAUUUAACCAGAAAGCCACGGCUAACUACGUGCCAGCAGCCGCGGUAAUACGUAGGUGGCAAGCGUUGUCCGGAUUUAUUGGGCGUAAAGCGAGCGCAGGCGGUUUUUUAAGUCUGAUGUGAAAGCCUUCGGCUCAACCGAAGAAGUGCAUCGGAAACUGGGAAACUUGAGUGCAGAAGAGGACAGUGGAACUCCAUGUGUAGCGGUGAAAUGCGUAGAUAUAUGGAAGAACACCAGUGGCGAAGGCGGCUGUCUGGUCUGUAACUGACGCUGAGGCUCGAAAGUAUGGGUAGCAAACAGGAUUAGAUACCCUGGUAGUCCAUACCGUAAACGAUGAAUGCUAAGUGUUGGAGGGUUUCCGCCCUUCAGUGCUGCAGCUAACGCAUUAAGCAUUCCGCCUGGGGAGUACGGCCGCAAGGCUGAAACUCAAAGGAAUUGACGGGGGCCCGCACAAGCGGUGGAACUUGUGGUUUAUUUCGAAACUACGCGACGAACCUUACCAGGUCUUGACAUACUAUGCAAA
rnacentral:rRNA from 2 species